rnacentral:lncRNA from 1 species
CCAAGGUUUUGGUAAAUUGAAACACGACUAUACACAGCUCUUGAACUGGAGUGGUCAAUCCCAUCUUGACACACGCACUGACAAGUCAAGUACUUGACUACACCCAGCAGCCUUCCAUCACUGAAUUAGAAAUUCAGGUAGUCCAGUGCCUAAGUGCAGUGAGUUGCUUGCAAGUCACCAUGGCGGUCUCAGGUAGGAGGGACAGUUAUACCCAUAUCCCAUCGGAGCAAAUCUUGAC